GGGUCCUGCUGGUAAGGGCAGCAGGCAGGGCGGCUGGGCCUGCAGAUCGGGGUGAUGGGCUGUGACUUGGCCCUCUGGGUGAGAGAUGGAGAGACCUGGAAAAAAGGCAUGGGGGAGGGGAGCCCUGCAGAUGUGGGGACACCCGAACCCUCCUGUGGGGUGUAACCCGAGCCCUUGGACACAGGGUGCAUAGGAUGUCUGCAGUCCUCACCCCUGGCCUGUCCCUCCCCCUCCCAGCGCCCCUUCCUGGCAUCUUUACAUAAAGCCUGGCAGGCUGGGCCUCAGGUCAGGCCCAUGGUCAUGGCCUUCACAGACCUGCUGGACGCCCUGGGUGGCGUGGGCCGCUUCCAGCUCCUCCACACGGCCCUGCUGCUGCUGCCCUGCAGCCUCCUGGCCUGCCACAACUUCCUGCAGAACUUCACAGCCGCUGUGCCCCCCCACCACUGCCGGGGCCCCACCAACCACACUGAGGCCACCAACGACUCGGAGAACUGGCUGAGGGCCACAGUACCCCUGGACCAGCUUGGGGCCCCGGAGCCAUGCCGGCGCUUCACGAAACCUCAGUGGGCCCUGCCGAACCCCAACUCCUCUCUCCCGGGAGCAGCCACGGAGGGCUGCAAGGACGGCUGGGUCUAUAACCGCAGUGUUUUCCCGUCCACCAUCGUGAUGGAGGUCAGAGGGGGCUGGGUGCAUGGGGGUGCUGCUGCUGAGGCCCAGUCUGAAGCUCCCAUGUCUUCCCUGCAGUGGGACCUGGUGUGUGAGGCCCGCACUCUCCGAGACCUGGCUCAGUCCGUCUACAUGGCCGGGGUGCUGGUGGGGGCUGCUGUGUUUGGCAGCCUGGCAGACAGGCUGGGCCGCAAGGUGCCCCUGGUCUGGUCCUACCUGCAGCUGGCAGCUUCGGGGGCUGCCACAGCGUAUUUCAGCUCCUUCAGUGCCUACUGCGUCUUCCGGUUCCUGAUGGGCAUGACCUUUUCCGGCAUCAUCCUCAACUCCCUCUCCCUGGUUGUGGAGUGGAUGCCCACCCGGGGCCGGACUGCGGCGGGCAUCUUGCUGGGGUACUCCUUCACCCUGGGCCAGCUCCUCCUGGCUGGGGUCGCGUACCUGAUUCGCCCUUGGCGGUGCCUGCAGUUUGCUGUCUCGGCUCCUUUCCUGAUCUUUUUCCUCUAUUCUUGGUGGCUUCCAGAGUCAUCCCGCUGGCUCCUCCUGCAUGGCAAGUCCCAGUUAGCUGUCCAGAACCUGCGGAAGGUGGCUGCAAUGAACGGGAGGAAGGAAGAAGGGGAAAGGCUGACCAAGGAGGUGGUGAGCUCCUACAUCCAGAGAGAGUUUGCGAGUGUCCACAUCUCCAACUCAAUCUUGGAUCUCUUCCGAACUCCGGCCAUCCGCAAGGUCACGUGCUGUCUCAUGGUGGUCUGGUUCUCCAACUCUGUGGCUUACUACGGCCUGGCCAUGGACCUGCAGAAGUUUGGGCUCAGCCUCUACCUGGUGCAGGCCCUGUUUGCAAUCAUCGACAUCCCGGCCAUGCUGGUGGCCACCGCCACCAUGAUUUACGUGGGCCGCCGGGCCACAGUAGCCUCCUUCCUCAUCCUAGCCGGGCUCAUGGUGAUCGCCAACAUGUUUGUGCCAGAAGAGUCUCACUCUGCGGCCCAGGCUGGAGUGCAGUGGCACAGUCGUGGCUCACAACCUCCUAAGGUCAAGCAAUCCUCCCACCUUAGCCUCCGGCUGGGACUACAGGUCUGCAGAACCUGCGCACGGCUCAGGCAGCGCUGGGCAAAGGCUGCCUGGCCAGCUCCUUCAUCUGCGUGUACCUGUUUACGGGCGAGCUGUACCCCACGGAGAUCAGGCAGAUGGGGAUGGGCUUCGCCUCAGCCCAUGCCCGCCUCGGGGGCCUGGCAGCGCCCCUGGUUACCACACUUGGGGAGUUCAGUGCCGUCCUGCCACCCGUGUGCUUCGGGGCCACCGCAAUCCUGGCUGGGCUGGCUGUCUGCUUCCUGACCGAGACCCGUAACGAGCCCCUGAUGGAGACCAUCACGGCGAUGGAGAGGAGGGUCAAAGAAGGCUCUUCCAAGAAACAUGCAGAAGAGAAGAGUGAAGAAAUAUCUCUUCAGCAGCUGAGAGCAUCUCCCCUCAAAGAAACCAUCUAAGCUGCCUGGAACCUGGGGCUUGCUCGCAGCACCUGAGCCAUGUGCAGACAGGAGCCCCUGGGGACACGGGUGCUGAGCUGGAGGAAAGGUUGCUGAAAGCAUCCUGGCUCCCAUAGAGAGCCACACACAAGCCAGGGCUGCUUGGAGUGAAACCCCACCAGCAACAGCCAAUCUGCAUUACAAACGCAUAGAAAACCAGGAGAAGCCAGUCCCAGGGACCAAAGGAGAGACUGUUUUCCUUUCCCAUCCCCAUUCUGCCCCUUAAAAUGUCUCUGUAUUAGUCCAUUCUGGCACUGCUAUAAAGAACUACCUGAGACUGGGUAA